rnacentral:rRNA from 1 species
AGUCGAGCGAAUGGAUUAAGAGCUUGCUCUUAUGAAGUUAGCGGCGGACGGGUGAGUAACACGUGGGUAACCUGCCCAUAAGACUGGGAUAACUCCGGGAAACCGGGGCUAAUACCGGAUAACAUUUUGAACCGCAUGGUUCGAAAUUGAAAGGCGGCUUCGGCUGUCACUUAUGGAUGGACCCGCGUCGCAUUAGCUAGUUGGUGAGGUAACGGCUCACCAAGGCAACGAUGCGUAGCCGACCUGAGAGGGUGAUCGGCCACACUGGGACUGAGACACGGCCCAGACUCCUACGGGAGGCAGCAGUAGGGAAUCUUCCGCAAUGGACGAAAGUCUGACGGAGCAACGCCGCGUGAGUGAUGAAGGCUUUCGGGUCGUAAAACUCUGUUGUUAGGGAAGAACAAGUGCUAGUUGAAUAAGCUGGCACCUUGACGGUACCUAACCAGAAAGCCACGGCUAACUACGUGCCAGCAGCCGCGGUAAUACGUAGGUGGCAAGCGUUAUCCGGAAUUAUUGGGCGUAAAGCGCGCGCAGGUGGUUUCUUAAGUC